rnacentral:lncRNA from 1 species
UGGAAUAUGAUGGUGCAGAUGUUGCAACCAUGAGGCUUAGAGAUUGUAGAUAAUCAAAGACGUUUCAAACCCCAAAUGCAUAAUGUCUUUUUUUUUUAUAUAUGCUUUGUGAAAAUAGCAUAGGUUUUUUUUUUUUUUUUUUUUUUUUUUUUUUAAUCCAGGGGUUCCCCACUUACGUGGGUCAUUCCCCUGGGCCCGGUUAGGCAGCGGUCCACUUCACCCGGGAGGGCUUUACCUGGGCUGGGGACAAGGCCCAACACCCAGUACCGCAUUUGAUGACAGAAUGGGUAGUUCGCCUCCGCUUGGCGUCGAACCCGUGAGCAUGACAAUUGGCCCACAAGGUCCUUACCAAGUGAGCUACCACAUCCCGUCAAUAGGUUUUGCAUGGAAUCAUCGAAACAAUUGCGAAUUAAGACACAUGUAGUUUCGUAUAACAUUAAGUCAGAAAGCAGAUCACGUUCUUUCUUCUGCUUCUA